GGGUGACUAGUGACAGAAUGAGGGAGGGUGUGACUAGUGACAGAGAGAGGGAGGGGGUGACUAGUGACAGAGUGAGGGAGGUUGUGAUUAGAGACAGAGGGAGGGAUGGGGUGACUAGUGACAGUCACCACCUCCUUCGCACUGUCACUAGUCACCCCCUCCCUCACUCUGUCAUUGUGUCACUCCCUUCCUCACUCUGUCACUAGUCACCCACUCCCUCCCUCACUCUGUCACUAGUCACCCC